GAUGAAGAUAAACAUCUCUAUUACUUCAAUGACAUACGAUGACUCAAAGGGAAAUAAACAGAAAUUUGAAAUAAACAGCAAUAGAAACAUGCAAUCCGGGAAACUAACCUGUACUAACUUGAUCGGGGUAGAGUUAUAUGAAGAACAACCUGUAAUCAGAAAAGGGGAAACCGAUUAGGUUAACAGUGCAAUAACCGAUGAAGAAGUCACUGCACUAACAAGGCAGUGAUUCGAAGCUGCUAACAUGCAGAAAAAAGCUAAAGACACUACAAGGCAGUCAUUGAUACUAAGAACAUGUUUGCUUGAUCUUCUUUAUUACCCUUUCAGAUCUUCUUUAUUUCAUUGGAUCAACAGUUUGCUUGAUAGUAUUUCACCAGAGAAUGAGCGCUGAGUUAUGGGAAUGUUUCCCACUAUUUUGACUUCUUUUUUCACAUUUACUUAUUGCUACUGUUUUAUACUUUACCUCUGUUGUUUUGCAUCAAACCAUGAAAUUAAAAAAAUGGGACUGGACUGAUUCACUAGGUUGGUCCAAUCAGUUGCUCAUUUAGUUUGGUGAUCAUGUAAGAACCGGGUUUUAAAUUAACCUAUUAAAAAUCAAAUUGAAUCAGUAAAAAGUAUAUUUUAUAUAUUCUUCCAAUUUUUUUAUUGAAGAAGAUAACCCACUGUUAAAUUUCAACUCAUACUUCAUCAGAGUUCAAAAGAUCACACCAAUUUUAUACAGCUUUUCACUACCACUCUCAUUCGAUUAUACAUAUUUGCACCAAUAUCAACUUAUAAAAUUAAAUUAAAUAGUUGGGACCCUAACUUCCAUGCAAGAAAACAUUCAUAAAACUAAGGCAUAGAUUCCUUUGUUACACUAAUUACAGAGAGAAAAAGAGAGUUAGAAAAGAAAAGAAAAGAAAAAAGAGAGUUGAAGCGUAUUACAGUGAUUCCAUUCCUUUACCUUUCAGUUGCAGAAACCUGGAGACCCACCAACUGAGAGCAAUCGGAGUGACAGAGAGAUCAAGAAAAAAAAAGGUCGACUGGUUGAGAAGGGAAUCGAAAGAGUGGCAGAGAGAAAAAGAAAAGAAAAGAAAAGGAGGGAGCAAAUCGGCAGAAAAGAGGCGUAAUGGAGUGGGAGCAAAUCAGAAGAAAAGAAAAGCAAAGAAACAAGGAAGGAAACCGGAUGAAGGAACAGAAGAGAAACAAAGGGGAUCGGGGGAGGGUAAAUCAGGGAGGUGAUGCUGAAUCAGUAGCCAAUCUGGGCAAAAGGGGGGAAUAGAAAUCGGUGGUUUUCACCGAUUAGGAAGGUAACGGAUUAGGUGCGUUUUACUAAUACACCAAACCAAACGACGUAAUACACCCGGAUUAGGU
rnacentral:lncRNA from 1 species